rnacentral:ncRNA from 1 species
CGCUAGGGGAGCCUCUGUGCUGAGACUGAAUGAGAAGCCCUGCCGGACUUCCCAUCCUGACCCUCACUACUUGAACCGGAUAAUACCGGCGUAAGGAAGCAUCA